ensembl:misc_RNA 7SK 7SK RNA
GGAUUUGAGGGCGAUCUGGCUGCGGCAUCUUUCACCCCAGUUGAUCAUAGGGUUGAUUUGCUGAUCUGGUUAGCUAGGCAGGUCUCCCCUUUCUCCCUAAGUGCCCCAUGUGCAGAAGCUAUGUGCUUGAUCAGAAACGAUGACCACCCUGAUAGAGGAGGCCCAUCCCUCCGUCAAGGUAUACAAGUAGCUGCGUUUCCCUGCUAGAAACUCUAAACAAACUCUAAAGAGAAUCUAUGGAGACACAUAAAAUGUGCCAAAUAAACAGAGGGGGUCCU